CUGGAAGCCUGUACUGCUUUCUAGGUAAAUCAUUUGUUCUGCAAAGACUGCACAAUAAAUGUCAUCUCAGUGCAGUUUUGGCAUUCGUGGGAGCUGUAACACACAGCCCUCAUCUUUCUGCACGGGGAGGCUGAACAGUGUGGAUUUAUGGGCAGAAAGAACCAAGCAAGCUUCUCUAAGUCCAGAGUCUCUCUGUAUCUUAGCUCGUCUGGGAGGCGGUCCAGGUGGUUGCUUUUUGUCUGGAUAUUUUAUUUCAGCAACAGAAGUGAAACCAGAACGGAGCUGGUGUGGAGAAAGUGGUCUGCUAGCUGCGGGAGAGACUCACUGCAGAGUGAGCUACUCUAGGCAGCUAACUGCUGGCAGCUGUACGCCCUGGAGCUAUGGAGAUCUCCUCUGCUUCUGCACACUGUGGCUUUGACAUCUGCCAUGUUAUCAGCACAUCCUUGCUGUCUGACACUUCAGAUCGACAUCUUUGUGCAGAAAGCACAUAUCAUGGGAUAUAUGAGCUUUAUGGAAGACACUCUCAUCAUCAAUAAUCAUCAUCAUCAUCAUCGUAACAACUUCUCUUCUUAUAGACAGAGUCAGGAUUUGGGAGUCUGUUUUAUUGGGUGUGAGAGUAGAAGGGGCCUGAAAAGCCUUUAAGCAGCAAUCAGAGUUUCUCCUGAGAUUGAGGUCACCAUUUCUUGACAAAAUUUAAGACCCCUACUGAAGGAUUCAGACGACUACAAGAAUAAAGUAAAGCAACCCCAUCCCUAGGUGGCUGGA
rnacentral:lncRNA from 1 species